GGAGAUGCAGUCCGGCCGGGCACCGGCACCGGGGAGAUGAGAUCGGGGCGUGCCCGGGCACCGGGGAGAUACGGGAUACGAGGGAUACUCGGUCUCGGCCCCGGCCCCGGCCCCGGCCCGCACAAGCCGCCUCAGGAGCCGCGGAAGCCGCGCUCCGACACCGCCCGCUCCGCUCCGAGCCGAGCUCCUCGGCCGCGCCAGCGCUGUGAGGGACCCGUUGUUUUAGCAAAAAUCCCUCCCGCACCCGCGCCCUGUUUUCGGAGAGACUCGUGUGGCUCAGCGAGGAAGGAGGGAAAAUCAAUAUAAACGGAGCUGUCGCUCGUGAAGGGUCUAGGAAAAGUGUCUUAUGAGGAGCGGCUGAGGGAGCUGGGGGUGUUUAGCCUGGAGAAAAGAGGCUCCGCAGGGUCCUCAUCACUCUGUGAGUCCCUGGAAGGAGGCUAUAGCCCGGUGAGGACACGUCUCUCCUGCUGUGCCUGCACGGGAUCCGAAGAAAUGGCCUUAAAAUGAGACAGGGGAGAUUCAGAUUAGAUGUUAGAAAAAAUUGUCACUGUCAGGGUGGUCUGUCAGUGGAAUAGGUUCUUGCCCGGGUUCAAGAGGCAUCUGAAACUGGUGCUGGGGGAUGUGGGUUACUGGGUUAGGGGUUACAUGGGCGGUGCUGGGUUGGACGGGAUGAUCCUGAAGGUCUCUUCCAACCAUGACUAUUCCAUGAUUCAAUGAUUCUGGAGGCCUUGGCUCAGUCACAGAGUCAUAACUGCUUAACUUGGUCCUCUGUAAGUCACUUCUGUAGGCUUCAUCCUACAAGCAUUUGAGCACUGAAGUAAUUCCACUUCCAUGAGGAGUCACGAUAAAAUGAGCAAUGCUAUUUAUAAGUUAGUGAGUUGUAAAAUUUAAUUGGCACUCUACAGUCAUUUACUGUCAUGCCUUCAUUUGGGGGAUGGCAAUGCAGCGAUGUACUUGAAAUUUUGGGAGUUAUUUUUAUGAGGGGAAUUUACUGAACUGUCAGAUAAAAUCGUCAAGAAAAAUAUUUCACAAGCAUCUCAUCCUGGAAUGACUCUGAAAUGAAGGCACAUAUCACAGGGAAAAGCAGAAAUGCAAAUACAAAAACCAGUAACACAAAACCAAAAAAUAACAAAAUUUAAAAGUGAUACAAUUUAGAAAGUUGAUAAAGUGAACUAUAUCUUUACAGUUAAGUUAAAGAGUUUCAGGAAAUCUAGGCUUAUCUGGAGUAUCUUUGCAUAUAUGGAACAGCAUACUUGCUUUUGUAUAUAAUUUUCCCAAAUUAGUGAUUUUUCCAUGAUUGUCGCUGGACUAAAACCUGGGUUUCUCAGUUU